rnacentral:rRNA from 1 species
GUGAGGAAUAUUGGACAAUGGGCGCAAGCCUGAUCCAGCCAUGCCGCGUGCAGGAAGACGCAUCUAUGGUGUGUAAACUGCUUUUGUACGGGAAGAAACACUCCCUCGUGAGGGAGCUUGACGGUACCGUAAGAAUAAGGAUCGGCUAACUCCGUGCCAGCAGCCGCGGUAAUACGGAGGAUCCAAGCGUUAUCCGGAAUCAUUGGGUUUAAAGGGUCCGUAGGCGGUUUAAUAAGUCAGUGGUGAAAGCCCAUCGCUCAACGAUGGAACGGCAAUUGAUACUGUUAGACUUGAAUUACAAGGAAGUAACUAGAAUAUGUAGUGUAGCGGUGAAAUGCUUAGAUAUUACAUGGAAUACCAAUUGCGAAGGCAGGUUACUACUUGUGGAUUGACGCUGAUGGACGAAAGCGUGGGGAGCGAACAGGAUUAGAAACCCGGGUAGUCC